UGUGGUGGUGUUCGUUCGUCAGGCAACUUAUCAUAUUUGUUUUAUUUGCUGUUAUUACACUUUAUACAUUGACAGUCAUGUCGUGCUGUGCUGUUGGUUGUACUAACGGGCCAUCCCAGAGAAGCUCUGUGCAGUUUUUUUCGUUUUCCUUUAGGUGUGCAGCAUGCAGACAGACUGAGACGAUGGCUGGUGAACAUAAGACGACAAGACUGGGAGCCCAGCAAGUCAUCUCAUCUCUGUAGUCUUCAUUUUGAAGACCAUGAAUUCACCAUUGAUACCUAUGGGAAUCGUCUGACUUGCACUGCAGUACCAACUGUGUUCUCCCUUCCUGACCACCUGGUGAAGAGACCUGCUAGUAGAAAGGCAAGUGGUUAUUUUCUUAUCCUUUCUUUGUCAAGUGCUGCAAAUGAGAAGGAAUGUGAAAUGGUGGCUGCUAAUACAUCAGAUCAAAAUGUGGCUUGUCAGUAGUGAGCAGUUACAUUUUUGUGUCACCCAAGACAUUAAAACGAAAGAAUGAUGUCAUGGUUGAGAUUGUGGAGAAAUAUUAAAAGAGGAUGAGAAAGUAAGACGUGUAAAGUAAGUUUCAUGGCAUAACACAAACUUAGAACUUUUUUUUAUGUUGUCUGUAAUGCUAUACAACUGUAAUACCUCCUGGAAGUUUUGAUUUUAUGU